rnacentral:rRNA from 1 species
GUGGCAAGCUUAACCGUAUAGGGUAGGCGUAGCGAAAGCGAGUCUUAAUAGGGCGUUUAGUCGCUGGGUAUAGACCCGAAACCGGGCGAUCUAUCCAUGAGCAGGUUGAAGGUUAGGUAACACUGACUGGAGGACCGAACCCACUCCCGUUGAAAAGGUAGGGGAUGACUUGUGGAUCGGAGUGAAAGGCUAAUCAAGCUCGGAGAUAGCUGGUUCUCCUCGAAAGCUAUUUAGGUAGCGCCUCAUGUAUCACUCUGGGGGGUAGAGCACUGUUUCGGCUAGGGGGUCAUCCCGACUUACCAAACCGAUGCAAACUCCGAAUACCCAGAAGUGCCGAGCAUGGGAGACACACGGCGGGUGCUAACGUCCGUCGUGAAAAGGGAAACAACCCAGACCGCCAGCUAAGGUCCCAAAGUUGUGGUUAAGUGGUAAACGAUGUGGGAAGGCUUAGACAGCUAGGAGGUUGGCUUAGAAGCAGCCACCCUUUAAAGAAAGCGUAAUAGCUCACUAGUCGAGUCGGCCUGCGCGGAAGAUGUAACGGGGCUCAAACCACACACCGAAGCUGCGGGUGUCACGUAAGUGACGCGGUAGAGGAGCGUUCUGUAAGCCUGUGAAGGUGAGUUGAGAAGCUUGCUGGAGGUAUCAGAAGUGCGAAUGCUGACAUGAGUAACGACAAUGGGUGUGAAAAACACCCACGCCGAAAGACCAAGGGUUCCUGCGCAACGUUAAUCGACGCAGGGUUAGUCGGUUCCUAAGGCGAGGCUGAAAAGCGUAGUCGAUGGGAAACAGGUUAAUAUUCCUGUACUUCUGGUUACUGCGAUGGAGGGACGGAGAAGGCUAGGCCAGCUUGGCGUUGGUUGUCCAAGUUUAAGGUGGUAGGCUGAAAUCUUAGGUAAAUCCGGGGUUUCAAGGCCGAGAGCUGAUGACGAGUCGUCUUUUAGAUGACGAAGUGGUUGAUGCCAUGCUUCCAAGAAAAGCUUCUAAGCUUCAGGUAACCAGGAACCGUACCCCAAACCGACACAGGUGGUCGGGUAGAGAAUACCAAGGCGCUUGAGAGAACUCGGGUGAAGGAACUAGGCAAAAUGGCACCGUAACUUCGGGAGAAGGUGCGCCGGCUAGGGUGAAGGAUUUACUCCGUAAGCUCUGGCUGGUCGAAGAUACCAGGCCGCUGCGACUGUUUAUUAAAAACACAGCACUCUGCAAACACGAAAGUGGACGUAUAGGGUGUGACGCCUGCCCGGUGCCGGAAGGUUAAUUGAUGGGGUUAGCGCAAGCGAAGCUCUUGAUCGAAGCCCCGGUAAACGGCGGCCGUAACUAUAACGGUCCUAAGGUAGCGAAAUUCCUUGUCGGGUAAGUUCCGACCUGCACGAAUGGCGUAACGAUGGCGGCGCUGUCUCCACCCGAGACUCAGUGAAAUUGAAAUCGCUGUGAAGAUGCAGUGUAUCCGCGGCUAGACGGAAAGACCCCGUGAACCUUUACUGUAGCUUUGCACUGGACUUUGAGCCUGCUUGUGUAGGAUAGGUGGGAGGCUUUGAAGCGUGGACGCCAGUUCGCGUGGAGCCAUCCUUGAAAUACCACCCUGGCAUGCUUGAGGUUCUAACUCUGGUCCGUGAUCCGGAUCGAGGACAGUGUAUGGUGGGCAGUUUGACUGGGGCGGUCUCCUCCUAAAGAGUAACGGAGGAGUACGAAGGUGCGCUCAGACCGGUCGGAAAUCGGUCGCAGAGUAUAAAGGCAAAAGCGCGCUUGACUGCGAGACAGACACGUCGAGCAGGUACGAAAGUAGGUCUUAGUGAUCCGGUGGUUCUGUAUGGAAGGGCCAUCGCUCAACGGAUAAAAGGUACUCCGGGGAUAACAGGCUGAUACCGCCCAAGAGUUCAUAUCGACGGCGGUGUUUGGCACCUCGAUGUCGGCUCAUCACAUCCUGGGGCUGAAGCCGGUCCCAAGGGUAUGGCUGUUCGCCAUUUAAAGUGGUACGCGAGCUGGGUUUAGAACGUCGUGAGACAGUUCGGUCCCUAUCUGCCGUGGACGUUUGAGAUUUGAGAGGGGCUGCUCCUAGUACGAGAGGACCGGAGUGGACGAACCUCUGGUGUUCCGGUUGUCACGCCAGUGGCAUUGCCGGGUAGCUAUGUUCGGAAAAGAUAACCGCUGAAAGCAUCUAAGCGGGAAACUUGCCUCAAGAUGAGAUCUCACUGGGAACUUGAUUCCCCUGAAGGGCCGUCGAAGACUACGACGUUGAUAGGCUGGGUGUGUAAGCGUUGUGAGGCGUUGAGCUAACCAGUACUAAUUGCCCGUGAGGCUUGACCAU